UCAGUGGCCGAGUGGAUAACGCGAUGGUGUUUGAAGCGAAAGGUACUGGGUUCGAGUCCCAGAGUGA
rnacentral:tRNA from 1 species